rnacentral:rRNA from 1 species
UACGUAGGGUGCAAGCGUUGUCCGGAAUUAUUGGGCGUAAAGAGCUCGUAGGCGGUUUGUCGCGUCUGCUGUGAAAACCCGAGGCUCAACCUCGGGCCUGCAGUGGGUACGGGCAGACUAGAGUGCGGUAGGGGAGAUUGGAAUUCCUGGUGUAGCGGUGGAAUGCGCAGAUAUCAGGAGGAACACCAAUGGCGAAGGCAGAUCUCUGGGCAGUAACUGACGCUGAGGAGCGAAAGCGUGGGGAGCGAACAGG